AUUGAACGCUGGCGGCAUGCCUUACACAUGCAAGUCGAACGGCAGCGGACCUUCGGGUGCCGGCGAGUGGCGAACGGGUGAGUAAUAUAUCGGAACGUACCUUUCAGUGGGGGAUAACGUAGCGAAAGUUACGCUAAUACCGCAUAUUCUGUGAGCAGGAAAGCAGGGGAUCGCAAGACCUUGCGCUGAUUGAGCGGCCGAUAUCAGAUUAGCUAGUUGGUGAGGUAAAGGCUCACCAAGGCGACGAUCUGUAGCGGGUCUGAGAGGAUGAUCCGCCACACUGGAACUGAGACACGGUCCAGACUCCUACGGGAGGCAGCAGUGGGAAUUUUGGACAAGUGGGCGCAAGCCUGACUCCAGCCAUGCCGCGUGAGUGAAGAAGGCC
rnacentral:rRNA from 1 species